rnacentral:rRNA from 1 species
AUUGAACGCUGGCGGCAUGCCUUACACAUGCAAGUCGAACGGCAGCAUGGAAGAGCUUGCUCUUCUGACGGCGAGUGGCGAACGGGUGAGUAAAGCAUCGGAACGUACCGUGUAGUGGGGGAUAACGUAGCGAAAGUUACGCUAAUACCGCAUACGCACUGAGGUGGAAAGCAGGGGAUCGCAAGACCUUGCGCUAUACGAGCGGCCGACGUCAGAUUAGCUAGUUGGUAGGGUAAAGGCCUACCAAGGCGACGAUCUGUAGCGGGUCUGAGAGGAUGGUCCGCCACACUGGGACUGAGACACGGCCCAGACUCCUACGGGAGGCAGCAGUGGGGAAUUUUGGACAAUGGGGGCAACCCUGAUCCAGCCAUGCCGCGUGAGUGAAGAAGGCCUUCGGGUUGUAAAGCUCUUUCGGCCGGGAAGAAAUCGCACGGGCUAAUACCCUGUGUGGAUGACGGUACCGGAAUAAGAAGCACCGGCUAACUACGUGCCAGCCGCCGCCGUAAGAC